rnacentral:rRNA from 1 species
GCGUGCAGGAUGACGGUCCUAUGGAUUGUAAACUGCUUUUGUACAGGAAGAAACCUCCCUACGAGUAGGGACUUGACGGUACUGUAAGAAUAAGGAUCGGCUAACUCCGUGCCAGCAGCCGCGGUAAUACGGAGGAUCCGAGCGUUAUCCGGAAUUAUUGGGUUUAAAGGGUUCGUAGGCGGUUUGUAAGUCAGUGGUGAAAUUUCCUAGCUUAACUAGGACACUGCCAUUGAUACUGUUGAGCUUGAAUAAUAUGGAAGUAACUAGAAUAUGUAGUGUAGCGGUGAAAUGCUUAGAUAUUACAUGGAAUACCAAUUGCGAAGGCAGGUUACUACGUACUUAUUGACGCUGAUGAACGAAAGCGUGGGGAGCGAACAGGAUUAGAUACCCUGGUAGUCCACGCCGUAAACGAUGGAUACUAGCUGUUCGGUUUUCGGACUGAGUGGCUAAGCGAAAGUGAUAAGUAUCCCACCUGGGGAGUACGUUCGCAAGAAUGAAACUCAAAGGAAUUGACGGGGGCCCGCACAAGCGGUGGAGCAUGUGGUUUAAUUCGAUGAUACGCGAGGAACCUUACCAGGGCUUAAAUGUAGAUUGACAGAUUUGGAAACAGAUUUUUCUUCGGACAAUUUACAAGGUGCUGCAUGGUUGUCGUCAGCUCGUGCCGUGAGGUGUCAGGUUAAGUCCUAUAACGAGCGCAACCCCUAUUGUUAGUUACCAGCGCGUAGAGGCGGGGACUCUAGCAAGACUGCCGGUGCAAACCGUGAGGAAGGUGGGGAUGACGUCAAAUCAUCACGGCCCUUACGUCCUGGGCUACACACGUGCUACAAUGGCAAGUACAGAAAGCAGCUACCUGGCAACAGGAUGCGAAUCUCCAAAGCUUGUCUCAGUUCGGAUUGGAGUCUGCAACUCGACUCUAUGAAGCUGGAAUCGCUAGUAAUCGGAUAUCAGCCAUGAUCCGGUGAAUACGUUCCCGGGCCUUGUACACACCGCCCGUCAAGCCAUGGAAGCUGGGGGUACCUGAAGUCGGUGACCGCAAGGAGCUGCCUAGGGUAAAACUAGUAACUAGGGCUAAGUCGUAUAGCA